UACGUAGGGGUCUAGCGUUGUCCGGAAUCAUUGGGCGUAAAGAGCUCGUAGGCGGUUCGGCAAGUCGGAUGUGAAAUCUCCACGCUCAACGUGGAGGGGCCAUUCGAAACUGCCGUGACUCGAGUCCGGUAGGGGAGUGCGGAAUUCCCGGUGUAGCGGUGAAAUGCGCAGAUAUCAGGAGGAACACCGGUGGCGAAGGCGGCUUGCUGGGCCUUACCUGACGCUGAGGAGCGAAAGCGUGGGGAGCGAACAGG
rnacentral:rRNA from 1 species